rnacentral:misc_RNA from 1 species
AAGUCGUAACAAGGUUUCCUUCAUAGUUCACCUUCUGAAGCCUUGAAUCCCCCAGUCUGCACUUGCGGGCAACACCAGUCUGUUGCGUGGAAUUCUCUUUCCAGAGAUACCAGCAGUCACAUAUGUGAUUCACAGAUCAAACACUGGUGGUACACACGUUGUAUUCAGAUAUGACCGGUCCUUCUCUGGCUAAAGGAGAAUUGGGUACGACGUUCCGUAGGUGAACCUGCGGAAGGAUCAUUACCGAGUUAGGGUCUUACAGGCCCGACCUCCAACCCUGUGUCUAAAUUACCAUGUUGCUUUGGCGGGCCCGCCUCUCGGGGCCGCCGGGGGCUUUAAUGCCUCUGGCCAGUGCUCACCAGGAGCCUUAUUAAAUUCUUUAUAGCUGUGAUGUCUGAGUUUAAAUAUAAAUCGUUAAAA